UGAGCAAUCUGCCCUUCUCAUCGGAAUAAGCGUUGGAAACGACGUCUAAUGCCGAAUACGACCUCCUUUCGCAUGAUCGGAGGUGGAAAGCUCCGGCGGAGAAGGAUGAGCUCGCGGCCUAUCAGCUAGUUGGUGUGGGUAAUGGCCCACCAAGGCGACGACGGGUAGCCGGCCUGAGAGGGUGACCGGCCACACUGGGACUGAGACACGGCCAGACCUCCUACGGGGAGCCAG
rnacentral:rRNA from 1 species